UACAGAGGUCUCAAGCGUUGUUCGGAAUUACUGGGCGUAAAGGGUGCGCAGGCCGCGCGGGCAGUCAAAUGUGUAAUUCAGGGGCUCAACCCCUGCACUGCGAUUGAUACUUCCGCGCUCGAGCUUUGGAGAGGAGUCUGGAAUUCUCGGUGUAGCAGUGAAAUGCGUGGAUAUCGAGAAGAACACUUAGGGCGAAGGCAAGACUCUGGACAAAUGCUGACGCUCAUGCACGAAGGCUAGGGUAGCGAACGGG
rnacentral:rRNA from 1 species